rnacentral:rRNA from 1 species
UCCGGUUGAUCCCGCCGGACCUGACUGCUAUCGGAUUGAUACUAAGCCAUGCGAGUCUUUGCAGUAAUGCAAGGCAUACGGCUCAGUAACACGUAGUCAACUUACCCUAUGGACGAGGAUAAUCUCGGGAAACUGAGCAUAAUACUCGAUAGAUCAUAAUGCCUGGAAUGGUUUAUGGUUGAAAUGAUUCGUCGCCAUAGGAUGGGACUGCGGCCUAUCAGCUUGUUGGUGAGGUAAUGGCCCACCAAGGCGAUUACAGGUACGGGCUCUGAGAGGAGAAGCCCGGAGAUGGGUACUGAGACAAGGACCCAGGCCCUAUGGGGCGCAGCAGGCGAGAAAACUUUGCAAUGUGCGAAAGCACGACAAGGUUAAUCCGAGUGAUUUCUGCUAAAGAAAUCUUUUGCAAGUCAUAAAACCACUAGUGAAUAAGGGGUGGGCAAGUUCUGGUGUCAGCCGCCGCGGUAAAACCAGCACCUCAAGUGGUCAGGAGGAUUAUUGGGCCUAAAGCAUCCGUAGCCGGCUCUGUAAGUUUUCGGUUAAAUCCAUGUGCUCAACGCAUGGGCUGCCGAAAAUACUGCAUAGCUAGGGAGUGGGAGAGGUAGACGGUACUCGGUAGGAAGGGGUAAAAUCCUUUGAUCUAUCGAUGACCACCUGUGGCGAAGGCGGUCUACCAGAACACGUUCGACGGUGAGGGAUGAAAGCUGGGGGAGCAAACCGGAUUAGAUACCCGGGUAGUCCCAGCUGUAAACGAUGCAGACUCGAUGAUGCAUUGGCAUAUAGCCAGUGCAGUGUCGCAGGGAAGCCGUUAAGUCUGCCGCCUGGGAAGUACGUACGCAAGUAUGAAACUUAAAGGAAUUGGCGGGGGAGCACCACAAGGGGUGAAGCCUGCGGUUCAAUUGGAAUCAACGCCGGA